UACGUAGGGGGCUAGCGUUGUCCGGAUUUAUUGGGCGUAAAGAGCGUGUAGGCGGCCGGGUAAGUCCGGUGUGAAAACUCGAGGCUUAACCUCGAGAUGUCAUCGGAAACUAUUCAGCUAGAGUCCGGAAGAGGAGAGUGGAAUUCCUGGUGUAGCGGUGAAAUGCGCAGAUAUCAGGAAGAACACCCGUGGCGAAGGCGGCUCUCUGGGACGGUACUGACGCUGAGACGCGAAAGCGUGGGGAGCGAACAGG
rnacentral:rRNA from 1 species